UACGGGGGGGGCAAGCGGUGUUCGGAAUUACUGGGCGUAAAGGGCUUGUAGGCGGCCAACUAAGUCCGACGUGAAAUCCCCAGGCUUAACCUGGGAACUGCGUCGGAUACUGGAUGGCUUGAAUUCGGGAGAGGGAUGCAGAAUUCCAGGUGUAGCGGUGAAAUGCGUAGAUAUCUGGAGGAAUACCGGUGGCGAAGGCGGCAUCCUGGACCGACAUUGACGCUGAGGAGCGAAAGCUAGGGGAGCAAACGGG
rnacentral:rRNA from 1 species